ensembl:lncRNA
CACACACACACACACACUUACACAGAAGCCCUCCACACACACACACACACACUUACACAGAAGCCCUCCACACACACACAAAGACGUUAUGCCUUUAAUCAGGAUCAGAUUUCAAAGUGCCUACAUGUUUUGGGGCAACAGGGACGAGCCCCAAAUAGCCGAUUAUUAUUAUUAAGUCUUUGUCCUGUUUGCCAAAGUCUGUCCGUGUGUCUCGUCCCAAAGCAUCUGACCACCAAUACCUCAAAUGUGACAUCUGCAAGGUGGCACUCGCGUUCUCAGAGAAGACGUCUCUCGGGAGUAUGCAAAAACGCCCCAAAACCCUCGCUUGUGAGUCUGCGGCCUAGUCGGAUCUCUUCCACCAAGCACCCAGAACCAUAUUAAACCUCCCCAGAACAUUAUGCAGGCGGAGGAAAAACAGCUAAUGGAAUAAUCCCCCCGUCCUCGCUUUGGAGCGCAGAAGAUCCACACAAACCCAAAACAAUGCCGGCCGGCGGAAGGCAGAGGACCAAAAAUAAGCCGGUGGGAGGGUUUUGUUUUGCGAAGGAGCUCAUUGGCAGCUGCUUCAUCUGUGAAGUGCUUCGUUUGGAACAUUUAUAGAACUAUGUUUCACCUCGUGAAUAUUCAUGCGAGGAAAGCAGAAUGUUUCUCUGUUUCAGGUAAAGAGCACAUUUUAAAAGUGAUUUUAGGUCCCAAAAGCUGUAAAAAAACAACAACUACAGGACCAACCGGCAGAAGCUCUCUGCUUGGGAGAUAUUUCCCAUAAGACUCAGUAACGACCAAAAAUAGAGAUUAAAGCAGAGUAAAUAUUAAAAAGACGUUCAUCAUAUAUUCAUACUGCUGUCUGCUGGGUACGAAAAACACGCCACAUCAUGUCGACAAGUUUGCCAUCACCACGUCCUCGCUGCCUCGCAGGGAGCUGAAUGAAAGCAGCUUCAGCAUAUUACACGUAUGUAAUGACUCACAAGCAGACGUAAAAAAUACAUUUCAAAUCAUUGCCAUCGGAAAGAUGUGUCAUCGUAAAAUUGAGUUGUUGAGUUGUUGCAUAUAACCUGUUUAACAUAACGUUGGAUAACUCAUCUUAACACUAAUAUGCCGUAAUCUGAACAUUUAUGAGUAAAAUCUUCUUAGUGAGUUGACGAACUAGUUAAAUAGCAACAAGGCCUUUGGGUCGGAGCCCGUCCUUGUGUUUUAUAUUAUAGCUCCGUGUUCAAAGGCCGCUUGCUGCUACAGGAACAGGCUGGUCCACUGUGUGUGUGUGUGUCUGUGUCUGUGUGUGUGUGUGUGUGUGUGUGUGUGUGUGUGUGUGUGUGUGUGUGUGUCACGCUUCGGGCUCAGAAAUGUGACACCUCAAAGAUGAGAGCGUGAAAUAAUCAAACGUGAGGGAAUUUCCUGCUGCUCUAGACGUGUAAAAGUCACAAUUUUCAAGCAUGUCAGAGCUAAAUUAUGAAGAAAUAUCAACAGGAUUUGAACAAAUAACAGAAACGGAUUGGAAGCUGACUUCUAUUGGGACCAAUAUGUCAAACGCUGCUGCUUCAUCUGGGGAGGAAAUAAAACAUCAUAAAUCAUUAAAAGAUUUAUGUCUGGUGCCGUUGUUUCUUUGUAUUUGCACCCAGAAGCAGCAGCAGGCGUUACGACACAUCCGGGUGGUGCAUGUUGAAAUGCUACACACUUCAGUGUGGAGGGUUUGCAUCACAAAGAAAGGACGAGGUGGUGAAGGGUGACGGAGGCCCAACUCAUUAUUAAUGGAGCUUAAGCGGCAGUUCUAGAAGGAAGACCUUUAUGCCACACGUAACGUAGAGACGCUUCAGCUGGUCCCCCAGAACUACCCAACCAGCGGAGAUGUAUGCGACCAACAGAGGCGGCGCUGUGGCUCUAAACCAAUCACAUAGUUGCUGUCAAACCUUUUUCAAAGGGUUCUCUCUGUGUCGCUGUCAGGUGUCAUUUCAGAGUGAAACCGGAUGCGACCCUCCUCCACCCAUCAGGCGCCCCCAGCAGCUGUCAGGCAUUCUUCACUUGUCCUUGGUUUUCAUCAACUCUCUUCUUCACCACCACCACCACCACCAGUGUCUGGACUCCAGGGGGGGAUUCUGCCAAGCAGAACAUCACCGCCCCUUGAUUAUCCCGGUUUAGGAUGGAGUGCAAUCGCCAAAGAUUCUGCACAUUUCAAUAUUAUACAUUAUGUGUAAAGUUUGUCAAUUCGGACGGAGUCUGUCCUGAUUGAAAUAGCCUGAUGUGGAAAUGGAGCUGCGAUGCAGCACCUGCAGCCGGCGCAGAGACGUCCGUCAGGCGCUCACACACCGCGGAGGCGGGACUUAUUUCGGUUAAUCAUUUGAAGCAAUGAUGGCCUCCGCCUUCCUUCCUCUGGGGAGGACCGAGCGGGAAGCUUCGCUUGUGCGAAGGCAUGUUGUCACAAAAGCAUUUUUUAUGUACAGUACGUGCUUGUGUGUUUGUGCGUGUGUGUGUGUGUGUCAGCUUUUAUUGAACGCGUUACUGAAGCGGCGUCCUUAGGUCAACACACACAUGCACACACGCUCACAAUGUAAGUUAGCCGGCGAGAACGAUGUCGUUUUUGUGGUACGCUGAAAAUAACGAGGCUGCUGUUUCCCAUGAUGCCUCACUGGCUGAGCGCCCCCCCCCCCUCGCGGCCAAUCAAGUGGCAGACACCCGCUCAUUAGAGCUUAAGCAGGCAGUCACACAUUGUUGUACGUACACACACACACACACAGUCUGACUUCACCUAAUGCUGAUUUAGCAGCACACACCGUCUGUCAGGAAUGAUUAACCUUUCCAUCAAUCUCAGGUUUCUCCAUUAUUCCAGACACACACACACACACACACACCGGCUCGCACACGGUUAGGUGUGAGCGAGUGCGCCCGCCCACACACACGAACACGUAUGAACAGGUUGUCAUCCUCAAGGUCUUACGCGAUAAGAGGCUCGAUGAAUCUGUUCUCAUAACUAGAGGCGGGAUGUGUUGAGAGGCGUAGGGGCCACGGAGGUCGAGGCCGCGGAUCAAUAAAACAAAAUGAUGUUGUUCUGAUUGUUUCACGGCGAGCACAAAUAAACACACACACACACACACACACACACACACAGCUUAAGAUGCGCUGCAUCGGGCUGCUGGCUGUCUGUGUGUCUGCAGGUCAUAUGGCAUAAUAAUAGAACAAGGUAGAAGUAGCUAGCAGCAGCUAACCGUAGCUAGCAGUAGUUAGCAGUAGCUAGUAGUAGCUAGUAGUAGCUAACAGUAGUUAGCAGUAGGUAGUAGUAGCUAAUAGUAGCUAGUAGUAGCUAACAGUAGUUAGCAG